rnacentral:rRNA from 1 species
CAGUAGCCGCGGUAAUACGGAGGGGGCUAGCGUUGUUCGGAAUUACUGAGCGUAAAGCGCACGUAGGCGGCUUGGUAAGUUAGAGGUGAAAGCCCGGAGCUCAACUCCGGAAUUGCCUUUAAGACUGCCGAGCUAGUAGGUGAGAGAGGUAAGUGGAAUUCCGAGUGUAGAGGUGAAAUUCGUAGAUAUUCGGAAGAACACCAGUGGCGAAGGCGGCUUACUGGCUCAUUCUAGACGCUGAGGUGCGAAAGCGUGGGGAGCAAACAGGAUUAGAUACCCCUGUAGUCCCUGUCUCUUAUAC